UAAGUUUGCAGCGGGCAGAGGGGAGGCAGGAACUGGAGAGGACGCGAGUGGCGGGUGGCGGGGGCGGUGUGUAGGGGUGACGUCCACCCGGCAGAGAGGGUUCCUUGUCCCCUGGAGCCGAACACAGGAAAAUCAGCUGGAAGCCAUGGAAAUAAAUAAGGAGCUGUUGAAGUUGCCAGCUCCCUGGAGUAACUGUGUAAACCUCCGGUCUUCUAUUCUCAUGGCCAAUAGUGCUUCCACUGGUCAAAACUCAAGCCUCAAGAUAAAGCAUGUAAAUAGCUUAAGAAGAGCAGUGCUGGUGCCUGGGGGAGAGGAGCCAGUCAGGACCUUCAGCUUCCCAGGGAAACUUGGAUUGAGUAGAAUGUAGCAAUCUCACUUUGCAGCGUGUCCUUCAGCAAGUCACUUACUCUCUCUGUACUCCAACUUCGUCCUCUGAAAAAUUAAAGAAUCCAACUGGAUCAUCUCCAAGAUCCUUUCCAAUUGAGAAAUUCCAUCACCUGUGAUGAUUUUUCUGUACAAUGCAAUUUGGGAAGGACACUAGCAUUUAUGGAACCACUGAUAUGUGCCAG
rnacentral:lncRNA from 1 species